GUGACCCUAACUCAGACUGAGAGGCCGGGAAGGCUCCAGGAGGAGGUGAUGCUUGAGAUGAGCUGGAAAGAUGUGCCACAUCGACAGUUAACGCCUGCAGGGUUGACGACAUAAAAAGCCCAUUGUAACUCUUCAAGAGGCUGAUGUUUGGCUCGAGCGUACGAGCAAUGUCCUAGAUAUAGGCUUCUGAUCAGCCUGGGUCCUGGCGGGGAGAUGACACCGAGCAGAGCCACCAUUGAGCUGCACUGGAUAAUGUAGUAUGAGUGAGAAAUAAAUCCUUGCUGUUGAAAGCUAUUGAGAUGUUGGGGUCAUUUGUCACGGCGGCAUAAGUGAUCCUAUCCUAACUGAUACAUCACUCUCUCUCUAUCACAACACGGAUUUCCAG
rnacentral:lncRNA from 1 species